rnacentral:piRNA from 1 species
UUGCUAAACAGUUGGUGGGCAAGUGAGUGU